AUAUUGUGGUUCAUAUCAGCUUAAUAUAUGUGUUCUUAUCAGCUUAAUAUCUGAUACCGGUUGCCCCAUUUGGACCCAACAUAUUAAACUUAUUUCCGCAACUUGGCCGAGUGAUUGAAACUUGCUUCACCUCCGCCGCGGGUCGGCCCGGUAUUUCACAAUCUUCGGGAUCGGCCCACGUUUU